rnacentral:tRNA from 1 species
GUAACAACAAGGGCAGGGUAGAGUGACACACACACACACAUAUAUGUAAGCAAGCGCACGCACGCACACACGCACGCACGCACGCACGCACACACACACACACACACACACACACACACACACACACACACACACACAGAAAGCGUUAGCAGGGUUUGAGUGGCAGCUGAAGUUAGGGUUGAAUAAACAGUAGUCCUGAUAACCCCAGGAUUGACAAGGCCACCCCGAUUGUCUUAUCUCGUAACCAUAGACCGGGACUCUGGCCAAGGGCCAAUAGAAACAGGGAAGACAAGCUUGUGGCCCAAUCAGUGAAGAGAAAACAUCCUGUGAACGAUACAGAAAAAGAAGGGGAACCUAUCGGGGGCAGGGGUAGGAGGCAUAUGAGGUAAGGGAGGGUGCUGGAGGUACUGUCUGUCUGUCACAGUCUGCGUGUGCGCGUCUGUGCUUGCGUGAAUGUGUUAUUCAGAUGCGAUAUGUUGUGUAUAUAUGAUAGAGGGAACGUGUUCACUCUCAGACACCUCUGACACCGCUUGUUAUUGAGGUCGUGGAUGGCCGGGAGCUCGGCCCCAUGAUGUACUGGGCUGUCCGCACCACCCUUUGUAGAGAUUUGCGGUCAAGGGAGGUGCAUUUGCCAUACCAAGCGAUGAUGCAGAAAGUCAAGAUGCUCUCGGUGGUGCAGCUGUAGAACUUAUUGAGGAUCCGAUGGCCCAUGCCAAAUCUUUUCAGCCUCCUGAGAGGGAAAAGGACUCCACCUCGUCUCACACGUCUACGCCUGCGGCGUUUUGGUAUCCCAUGGAACAAAGGAAUAGGGCCCAUAUGAACAGUGGAACAGCUGAGUUGGAGUUGAAGUCGUAUUUGAUGUUGAAAUCGAGGGCUUCCAUUCCAUCAAUACCCUGGCUAAGUCUUGCUGAUGUUUCUACUACCUCCACCAACACCACCUCCUCAGAUGGCCUGUUCAAACACUGAUUAGCAGCAGAGGUACGUUACGUAAGGAGUUCAACAACACAGAUGAACAUUCCACCUCCUGAACGUCACUGACAGGCAGACUGUGUUUUCAGGGGAGAACGGGGUGAGAGGUCACACAGGAUUUCCUGGUUGGUAACAGUCGCAACUAGGCCUGGGAUGCAUCUCAAAUGGCACCCUACUCCUUAUUUAGUGCACUACUUUUGACCAGAGCCCUAUCCUUGGUCAAAAGUAGUGCACUAAAUAGCGAAUAGGGUGCCAUUUGGGAUGCGACCCUGAACACAAACAUGUUGAUGGAGAGGCAGGAGGGAGACAGGAAGGAAGGAAGAUAAAGACAGACAGGACGGCCCUGAAUGACGCAGCCAUGCCGCACCCCCAAAAUAAACCACUUUUAGCAUCAGUCACCACACCACACUGUAGUGCUUAUCCUAAGUGCUUGGCUUGUUGUGGUGAAUCAAGCCCUCUGAUUCACAGUGAUAACACAAACACACACACACAUGCGCGCAUGCGCACACACACGCACUCUCCACCAACAACCCGCUCACCUCUCCAAUCUCUCUAUCAAGUGGUGGCUGGCUGGGCACAUCACUUCUUACAGUAGAGCGGCAGAGGGGAAAUCAGCAACAAUAAGCAUCUACUACAGGUCUGAUUUAUCGAUACUUCCUGUUUCUCUCUGUUUUUCCCACAUUCCCCCGCAAGGACAGGAAGCAGGAAGUCAUCCUUUCAGAAAGUGGGAGACAGGGAGCUUCCUGUCUUUGUUGGGAGGUGGGGAGUCUGUCAGAGGGGGGAGAUAACACUCCAGGACAGAACAGAGUCAACAGGUGCGGCUCCCGUCCGUACUCGGUGGAGGUCUGGACGCUGCUGUUGUGUGGAAAGAUAAUUACCUUCAGGUUGUUCUCCCACCAUUCCUGGUUACCAUCAAGGGACUUGCCCAUGGCAGUCUUGAGGGUCUGGUUGGUCCAUUCACCAAACCUGGAGGAGGGGGUAGGAAAGCCAUAUCUAUUGACACUCUAAGAUAUUGAAAUAUGUCUGAUUAUGUACCAUGUAAAAACGUUUUUUUUUUUUUUAUAAAUAAAUAAAACAAAUGAUAGGUGACAUAAUAUAACCUAUAACAUCCGUACCUUGUUCCAGUGUUCAUGACCUCGGUCACUCAAGAUGACCUCAAGAGAACUGUGGGUGUUGCCUUCCCUGUGGCUCAGUUGGUAGAGCAUGGUGUUUGCAACGCCAGCAUGGUGUGUGCAAUGCCAGGGUUGUGGGUUCGAUUCCCAUGGGGGGGCCAGUACAAAAAACAAAUGCAUGAAAUGGAAUGUAUGCAUUCACUACUGUAAGUUGCUCUGGAUAAGAGCGUCUGCUAAAUGACUAAAAUGUAAAAAUGAAGAUGACCAUCAUCACCUUGGAGGUGACCUUGCCAGUUUAGUCCUUGAUGGGUAUCAUACAAAACAAAAAUGAUGUUGGGGUUCCAAGCACCCUUUUUAAAUGGGUUACAGAAGGGAAUUUAGAGUUAAGCACAUUCUCUUCCUUUGCUGACCUUAAUGGGUAUUGCCUCCACUCACUUGGUAAAAUGAUUGGUCGCUGUCAGACACCAGCUUUUGCCAUUCCUGGAUUUUGUGAAGGGUCCGAUGAGGUCCAACCCUAACAUUUAAAGUGUUAGAGAGAAUAUUAUUUUAUUCUUACCCGUAUCUGUGUCAUACAGUGUGCAAAUGUUCAUAUUUGUAAGGAUACUGACACACACACACACACAAAACACAUAUUCUAUAAUAUUGAACUCUGCUGUAGUCAAAUAAAGCAACCAUUACAAAACAAAUGAUCAGGGAACAUUUUUAAUUGGGACACUUACCGAUCAUGUGACAUGGGGAAACAACUUUGAUGGGAUUCAACUCCGGCGCCACAGUCUUCACCUUCUCAAACUUCUGGCAGGCUAGACAGGGUACUGAGCUUUAAACUUCUUCGGGAUCAGUGUCCCAUCCACGGGACGGUUGAGCUAACGUAGGCUAAUGUGAUUAGCAUGAGGUUGUAAGUAACAAGAACAUUUCCCAGGUCAUAGACAUAUCUGAUAUUGGCAGAAAGCUUCAAUUCUUGUUAAUCUAACUGCACUGUCCAAUUUACAUGAGCUAUUACAGUGAAAUAAUACCAUGCUAUUGUUUGAGGAGAGUGCACAAUUUUGAACAUAAAAAGUUAUUAAUAAACAAAUUAGGCACAUUUGGGUGGUCUUGACACAACAUUUUGAACAGAAAUGCAAUGGUUCACUGAAUCAGCCUAAAACUUUGCACAUACCCUGACACCAUCUAGUGGCCAAAAUCUAAAUUGCACCUGGGCUGGAAUAAUACAUUAUGGCCUUUCUCUUGCAUUUUAAAGAUAAUGGUACAAAAAAAGUACAAAAGAAUGGUUGGUUUUUCUUUGUAUUAUCUUUUAGCAGAUCUAUUGUGUUAUAUUAUCCUACAUUCCUUUCACAUUUCCACAAACUUCAAAGUGUUUCCUUUCAAAUGGUACCAAUAAUAUUAAUAUCCUUGCUUCAGGGCCUGAGCUACAGGCAGUUAGAUUUGGGUAUGUCAUUUUAAGCAAAAAGUGACAAAUUAAAACUUUGGUUGUUCUCUGAUAUGACAUUCAUUGAAAUCAUAAUAGUUUCAGAAAUAAUAGAAUGUGAUUGAUAAACAAAAGACUCUCUCACUUGCCCAGCUGUCCACCUCCUUGACAUUUCCCCAUCAGAAGAUGCGUAGGUUGAUUUUGGCAAAGCUGCGCUUUACUCCGAAAUGGCCAGCAUGCAUCUCGGUCAGCACGGCCUCCUUCUCCUCCUUAGUAAAAAUCACCCUCCUGUGUGGCUGCCAAUCCUUCCCCCGUAGGUACAUGCGAUUGCCUAACAAGUUGGAAGAGACGAGUACAUUUGCACUGCUGUCUUUCUUUCUCUGUUUCUCGCUUUCCAUCUCUCUCUGUCUUCCACUCUUCCCACAUCUCUUUCUCCCUCUCUCACUUCAUCCUUUCUUUCUUACAUUCUUCCUCUCUCUCCACCCCCCUCUCUCUCUCUGUGCUUGUCUAGCAAAGUUACCUAGUUAAGGGCAUUUGGAAUUACCAUAAUUGCUUACACCUAUCCAUUUGAUUGAUCAGGUUUAACUUAUAGCUAGAUACCUCAAUAU